rnacentral:rRNA from 1 species
AACGCGAAGAACCUUACCUGGGUUGAACUACGCAGGAAAAGCCGUAGAGAUACGGUGUCCGUAAGGGUCUGCGAUAGGUGGUGCAUGGCUGUCGUCAGCUCGUGUCGUGAGAUGUUGGGUUAAGUCCCGCAACGAGCGCAACCCUUGUCCUAUGUUGCCAGCGGGUAAUGCCGGGGACUCGUAGGAGACUGCCGGGGUCAACUCGGAGGAAGGUGGGGAUGACGUCAAGUCAUCAUGCCCCUUACGCCCAGGGCUGCACACAUGCUACAAUGGCCGGUACAAAGGGCUGCUAUCCCGCGAGGGUGAGCGAAUCCCAAAAAGCCGGUCUCAGUUCGGAUCGCAGUCUGCAACUCGACUGCGUGAAGUCGGAGUCGCUAGUAAUCCCGGAUCAGCAACGCCGGGGUGAAUACGUUCCCGGGCCUUGUA